AUCACAUAGCCUUAAAAAAGUUUGAGGGCUCAUUCUCAAUAGAUUUCUACUAGUUUCACAGUUACUAAUUCGAUACAUUAUUUCUUCACGCACCCUUUCUCUCUCUCAGAGCUCAUACUAUAACUUAAUUUUCUCUUACGAGACAUCCGAACAUAACAAUAAACAAUUGCACACAUAAGUUGAGCUACAACUCUUCGGCGCAAAUCAAACCAUCUAUUAAUAGCAAUUUCUCGUUCUUGAUGAUCCAUCUAAUUCAAUAAAAU
rnacentral:lncRNA from 1 species